rnacentral:lncRNA from 1 species
GAUAUAGUAGGGAUUAUUUCCCGUUGUUUUGAGCAGUAUAGGUAUUAGUAGAGUGUGCUAAUACUGUGAUUUAUUAUUUGGCAUGACAUGAUAUGCUUCUAUGAUAAAUAUGCUGAUAAUGUAUGAUGGUAUGCAUAAUGCUGUGAAUAUAUCUAUUAUGUAUGCAAUUGUGGAUGGACUGUUUAUGGCUUAGAGUGUGAGCAUAUGUCCAUUGUCGAUUGUUGUUGAUGGUUGCAUGCUAGGUGAUUUAGCGUGCAUAAUAUGGCCUUUAUGGUGGUAGCUAAUUCCCAUGGUGAGGAAUUAGUGAGUG